rnacentral:rRNA from 1 species
AUUGAACGCUGGCGGCAUGCCUUACACAUGCAAGUCGAACGGUAACAGGUCUUCGGAUGCUGACGAGUGGCGAACGGGUGAGUAAUACAUCGGAACGUGCCUAGUAGUGGGGGAUAACUACUCGAAAGAGUGGCUAAUACCGCAUGAGAUCUACGGAUGAAAGCAGGGGAUCGCACGACCUUGUGCUACUAGAGCGGCCGAUGGCAGAUUAGGUAGUUGGGUGGGAUAAAAGCUUACCAAGCCGACGAUCUGUAGCUGGUCUGAGAGGACGAUCAGCCACACUGGGACUGAGACACGGCCCAGACUCCUACGGGAGGCAGCAGUGGGGAAUUUUGGACAAUGGGCGCAAGCCUGAUCCAGCAAUGCCGCGUGCAGGAUGAAGGCCUUCGGGUUGUAAACUGCUUUUGUACGGAACGAAAAGCCCCGGGUUAAUACCCUGGGGUCAUGACGGUACCGUAAGAAUAAGCACCGGCUAACUACGUGCCAGCCGCCGCAGUAA